GAUGAACGCUGGCGGCGUGCCUAAUACAUGCAAGUCGAGCGAACAGACGAGGAGCUUGCUCCUCUGACGUUAGCGGCGGACGGGUGAGUAACACGUGGAUAACCUACCUAUAAGACUGGGAUAACUUCGGGAAACCGGAGCUAAUACCGGAUAAUAUAUUGAACCGCAUGGUUCAAUAGUGAAAGACGGUUUUGCUGUCACUUAUAGAUGGAUCCGCGCCGCAUUAGCUAGUUGGUAAGGUAACGGCUUACCAAGGCGACGAUGCGUAGCCGACCUGAGAGGGUGAACGGCCACACUGGAACUGAGACACGGUCCAGACUCCUACGGGAGGCAGCAGUAGGGAAUCUUCCGCAAUGGGCGAAAGCCUGACGGAGCAACGCCGCGUGAGUGAUGAAGGUCUUCGGAUCGUAAAACUCUGUUAUUAGGGAAGAACAAAUGUGUAAGUAACUAUGCACGUCUUGACGGUACCUAAUCAGAAAGCCACGGCUAACUACGUG
rnacentral:rRNA from 1 species